rnacentral:rRNA from 2 species
CGGCGAGUGAAGCGGCAUCAGCUCAAAUUUGAAAUCUGGCGUCUUCGGCGUCCGAGUUGUAAUUUGUAGAGAGUGUCUCGGGUGGAGCACCGGUCCAAGUCCCUUGGAACAGGAUAUCAUAGAGGGUGAGAAUCCCGUAUCCGGCCGGUCCCCUCCCCCGCUGUGAGACCUCUUCGACGAGUCGAGUUGUUUGGGAAUGCAGCUCUAAAUUGGAGGUAAAUUCCUUCUAAAGCUAAAUACUGGCCAGAGACCGAUAGCGCACAAGUAGAGUGAUCGAAAGAUGAAAAGCACUUUGAAAAGAGAGUCAAACAGUACGUGAAAUUGUUGAAAGGGAAGCGUAUGCGGCCAGACUUGUCCCCAGUUGCUCAGCCCGUCUUCUGGCGGGUGUACUCUUCUGGGGCCAGGCCAGCAUCGGUUUGGGCGGUCGGAUAAAGACGUUAGGAAUGUGGCCCCUCUCGGGGGGUGUUAUAGCCUGGCGUGCAAUGCGAUC